CCUACGGGCGGCAGCAGUAGGGAAUCUUCCACAAUGGGCGAAAGCCUGAUGGAGCAACGCCGCGUGGGUGAAGAAGGUCUUCGGAUCGUAAAACCCUGUUGUUAGAGAAGAAAGUGCGUGAGAGUAACUGUUCACGUUUCGACGGUUUCUAACCAGAAAGCCACGGCUAACUACGUGCCAGCAGCCGCGGUAAUACGUAGGUGGCAAGCGUUAUCCGGAUUUAUUGGGCGUAAAGGGAACGCAGGCGGUCUUUUAAGUCUGAUGUGAAAGCCUUCGGCUUAACCGGAGUAGUGCAUUGGAAACUGGGAGACGUGAGUGCAGAAGAGGAGAGUGGAACUCCAUGUGUAGCGGUGAAAUGCGUAGAUAUAUGGAAGAACACCGGUGGCGAAAGCGGCUCUCUGGUCUGUAACUGACGCUGAGGUUCGAAAGCGUGGGUAGCAAACAGGAUUAGAUACCCCUGUAGUC
rnacentral:rRNA from 1 species